AUUCCCGAUUAAAAUAGUUAACGAUAUUUUUUUGGCAAAUAUUUUUUGGGGAAAAAUUGAUAACUGGUAAGGUCUCUUUGAGGUCGCAUUCGGCUUUGGCUGAAGUAAACAUUAAAGCCAAGGCCAUGGAGCCCCAAGGGUGUGAGCCCUGCUGGCCCGCAGAGGCUGUGUCCCUCUGGCCCGCAGAGGCUGUGCGGCCUCUCCCACACGCAGAAGCUGGCCCGAACAACAGGAAGCGGCUUGCCCAAGGCCCCCAGCGAGUCGAGGCUGGCCGAGAAUAGAGCCAGGAAGCCUGGAGUCCAUCCAGCAUUUGAGUCCAGCAGAAGGAUCCCUUCCUCCCCCCAUCUCCACGCUCCUGUACCUCCCCAUCCCAGGGGAGGGUACCGCCACCUGCCUCUUGGGAAUGGCUGGUAGUCCCUAGCAAGGGGAGAACCCUGUGCUCCUUUUCUUAGAGUUAUUAGGAGAAUUACUUGGACAGGCUGCCUCUUGUCCCUUUAGUCCUGGCUCAGAGGUGGGGUGUGGGGCCUGGUCAUCUAGGGCAGAGGCCGUGGGAUGGGGAAGCCAGCAGGACAGGGCGGGGUGGGCAGGCGCUAAACCAUUUGUUCCCGUACUGCCUCAGGCCACAGCUCUGCCUGGUGGGCGUCCCCAUGUGCGGUUCCAAUAGGGAGAAGGGUGUGGGUGCUGGGUUCUGAACCCUGGCUUUGUGGUCCCAGGCAAAGCACCCCCUCUUCCCAAGCCUCCAUUUCCACAGUGGAGCCUGAAUACACCUCAUCUGUCCACCCAGGAGUAACUUGACUUGUUAAAUCUAGUCAUCCUUUGUUGAAGGCCUUUCCUGAUUUGUCACAAGCCCCUUGGAGACUGAGGUGGUGGCCAGGCGCCCCCUUGCCAGCACACGUGCGCCUCGUGGCCGGCACCCUCCUGCAGUCAGGGCUCCCAGGCCAGCAGGACCCCUGGGGGGAGCUAUUUGCUUUAUCCACGUCAAGUAGGAUUUAUCAUUUUACCCGUUUUUCAGCGUGCAGUCCAAUGGCAGUAGGUACAUCCACGUUGCUGCGCGACCACCACCCCGUGCCCGACCUGCUUCUCUUCCUGAUGCAGGCGGGCCCGCCGGUGGGCGCCGCUCAGUGGUCAGGUCUCCGGGGGAGGAAGGCUGAUGCGCGAGGCCCGGCCCGUCCUGCCCCGGGCUUCCUGGCCCUGGGAUGGUGCCUGGUGACUGAGUCCGCUGCUGGCUAGGGUGUCGGUUCCUUGGGGAGCCCAGGCGGGGGCAUCCAAUGAGUCUGCCUCAGCUCUGUUCACACCGCCCCCCGUAGCUCGGGGCUCUGAGACAUGGCGCCAUCAGCCUUUGCGCUGGAUAAAUCUUUGUUGGGGGGCUGUCCUGAGCAUGUGAGGUGUAGAGUGUCCCUGGCCUCUACCUACUAGCUGCCUGUAGCAUCCCUGACCCCCUAAUUGUGACAACCAAAGAUGUCUUCAGGCAUUGCUGCCAGCAUCGCCCCCAGGUGAGAAUCACCGCAUUAACAUCAGUCCGGGGAGCCAGCCGGAGAGGAGGCUGGUGGAGCGGCGGGUGGCACUGAUGGAGGUGCUGCCGGAUGGGAGGGAGGAGCAUGGGGUUGGCGCUGGGGACCCGCCAUUCCGGCUGCCCAGGCGUGUGAGCCCUCUGGAGCCCCACCCCAGCAGCCGUGGUCCAGGUGUCAGCCUGGGUUUCUAACGCAAGCCUGUUCUGCAGGAGUGUUGGCUUGUCAGACUUUUGAGUCCUCCAGAGGUGGUGGGUAAAUAUCAAAAAAGAUCUUUGGCCUCUUGGUUUUCUUCCCUUACGAUUGGAGCGUUCAUGCCUUUCCCGCCCGCGGGCUUCCCUGGUGCUGGGACAGUACCUGGCGAGUGCUUUGGCGCUUCCCAAGUAGCCCAUGAGCCCCCGCCCCAGCCCCUCGAGUCUGUGGUCCCGCCCCCCAGCUCCGUGGAAGCGCUGGGCCUUGGCCCUAACGCCCACGGGUCACACCUGAUGUUCGGGGAUCGUAGGAAGCCCGUCGCCCAGCUGCUGGGUCUUCGGUUCCUGAGCGUGUGCUUGUUCGCUUGUGGCAGUUAAAAGCCGGAGGGGCAGCCCGGGGCGGGGGCAGCCCCGUGAGCCCGUCACAGCCCCUCUGCCCUGGAAACCCCUACCGAGGACCACGGCUCUGACGGUGACAUUCAGCUCUCUUGGAAUGAAGGCUUUCCCUGAGCCCACUCCGAAGAGAGAUCAGGUCACUUGCAGCUGUUUCAACCUCUGCUUCAAAUUCACAGCUUAUUUUUAGGCACGUUUCAUGUUGAAAAGCAAAGCCAUUUCCCAGCCCUUCGGAAUGAGAAUAAUGGGUUCCAUUUUCCGUCUAUUCUUGGCCGAGUUGUGAUGAGGAGGCAUUUUCGGGCUCUGGCUGGGGAGCUUUCUCUGCCUGGAGGGCUGCAGGGAAAGGACCCCCGCACCGGGCUGAGGGUGAGUCGGAAGAUGCAAGGCUGGAGGAAUGCUGGAAGGUUCCGUGCAGAUGCGCGUCUCCCGAAGGGACUCUUGCGGGCCCCUGAGCUCGUGCCGGUGUUUUCAGUGGUCUAGCGUUUAGCUCUGUUCCCUGCCGAAGCCGUGGUCAUCUCGCACUCUGCACUCGCCUCCACGGCCUCACCCUGUGCUGCUGUCCGUGCUUUGGGGCCUGUCCCUGAAGCACGAGGACCACUGUGUCGUGGCUGACCUUGAAUUUGGUACCUGCUCCUCCGGUCCCAGCUGCCGUAGGACUGACUUCUACCUCAACCACAGAAGCAUUUUAAAACCGCUUCGAAUAGCCAAGAUGCACUGUUUCCGACUUACUGUCAUUCUUGCCCUCCCUCUGAAGGUUUCUGAGCCCAUUAUGCAAUGGGAAGGAAGGUUGCGCUGGGGGUGGGGCAAGGGAUGCAGAAUUCUAGGUAAUUCAGUAAAACCAAAAACCCACUUCCUGAGUUCUCAGGGCUGGCUGCCCUCCAGUACAGACAGUAACCUUGACUUCUAGGGCCAAGGGCCUUUCUCCGCUCAUCUCAAAUGGGGAGAUGCCAGGUCCGCCUCGGUGGGGUCUCACGAGGUGGCACAGGCCCAAAGGCGCUUGGAACCGUGCCUGGCACAUGGCAAGCGCUCACCCAUCUUUGUAAAUGUUAAAAUGUUCCUUUAAAAUGUUUUAAAAUGUUCCUUUUCCUUCCUCUGUCCGACUGAGCAAGAUGGGCCCCCACCCCGUCAGGGCGGCUGUGCGGCCACAGGCUGUGGGGUGAGGGCCGGCGGGCAGGAGAGGGGCCGGUCUCCCCGCGGCCGUUUUCCAUGUUGCCUCUGCCUUGCAGGCUGUCCUCGUGGGGUCCGGUGGGGGUUGCAGACCCUUGCAGACAGCAGUGUGCUUCCUGAUGAGAGACCCACGUCCUCCUUGCUCCCAGACGUGAAAGCAAAUCCAUGAGACCACCUGCCUCCUGCAUUGUCCUCAGUGUUCUUGGCUCCUGCCUUUUGCCCCGUAGACAUGGGUGCCUCGGUCAGCUCCCGUCCUUCAGAACCCGCCGGGCCUGUAGGGAAGCCGUCAGGCGAGUCUCUGACGGUUGAGCUUGAGGUGGUCUGGGUGCUUGCGGCUCGAUAUUGAAACCCCUGGGUGAAGAUUUUCUUUGCAGAACCUUUCGGAAAGUGGCCCCAGGUCACAAGAGCAGGCACAGCCCUGCGGAAAGCGACAGUGGCAGAGGAUGUGCUGUGGGGUGGGACUGAGCCGAACUCCCUUCUCUGAGCUGCCCCUUCGAGGGGCCGACGGUUUCCUGCCACUGGGAAGUUCCCAUCCAUUCCACAGGCAAGAGGUCCCUGUCCAGAGGAGAGUGGCCUGGUUCUUAGGGAGGAAGGGCCUGCUUGGUGACAAACCAACAGCGGGCAUAGUUGCAGGAAUCCGGGGCGGGUGUAUUAAGACAGUCACAGUGUCAUGAAGAUGGACACACCUGAUCUGGAGUCCACACGAAGCCUGGUGGCCCUCGCGUCCAGCUCUGCGUGGAUCGGGGCACGCCUGGUGCGUGAGCCUGGGCACCCACACACACUGUCGAGAGCUCUGUUGUCUUUUCGAGGAUCUCAGAACUGUUUUGGUUUUCCUUUCCCGCUGGCAGCCAGGCGUUGGGUUCAAGGCCAGUGGAGAGUCCACAGUUGCACGUGAGGAAAUGAGCCCAAAUCACAGGACAGUGGGUCCUGGCACCCUGGCACUUCGCUACAGGGGACCGUGGCCCGGGCAGGAGUGCCUUUAGUUUCAGCCCUGGGGCCACAGCUGUGACACUGCCAUUUGGCUCACAGUGAUGACAAGCGUCUAUGGCCCAGUCUGGCCACGCUGACAGUCCCUUCUCCACAGAAGAGCCAGCAGAGGCCCUGGACGUGGUGCAGAGCGGAGAGGUGGGCAAGAACCGAGGCCGCUGGCACCUGAGUCUUCCUCUCUCCCUCCCUCCCACCCUUCCUCCUCUGUGCUUCUCUUUCAAACCCGGAAACCCGAAAAUGGAAGAAACGAUCCGCAAGUGGAAACAGACACUGUUGCUUAAGCCUGGCUGUGAUUCUUUGGGCCAUACUCUGUUCCCCAGCAGAGCGACACGCAUCCUCUCCAGAUGGCACCUCCUCCAUGCAGCCUUCCCAGGAGGCCAGCAGGUUGUGAAUUCUUCCCACUCCGCCCGCCCAGAGCACUCUGCUCGCUGGGGCAGCCGCUCUCUGCUGGAGUCGGCGAUUCGCAGGCCUCGUUCGUCUCCCUGGAGGGCUGGCGCCCUGGUCUCCCGUGGCGCGCUGCUUGUGUCUGGAACACACUGUGGUCAGGACACCAGGGGUCCAUGGACACACGUCCGGUAGCAGGGUGGAGGGCGCGAGGCUAGAAGCAGGCUGUGGCUCCUUCCUUUGGCGUUUUGGAUGGUCCCGGGCUAAAUGAAGGAAGCCACUUUCUGGCCUGGUUGGUCAGUUCGAGGGCAGGUGGCGUGGGGUGGUCUGGACGGUUUGAGGGCAGGUGGCGUGGGGUGGUCUGGACGGCGACUGGGCGGUGGGGUGGUGGAGUCUGCCCGCCUGGACUGGGAGUUUCAGUGCUUGCUUUCAUGGUCGAUGCAGAAGAGCCCUUGGCAGCUAAGAGUUUCCAGAUUGGACGGCAGCAUGGCCCAUGCGGUGUAAGGGUGUUGGAUAAUGCUCGUGUUUAUGUUCUCAUUGGUUACCAUGGGAAAAAAUCAGAAUAGAUGGUUUCCAUGGAGAUUAUCUUAAAAUGAGCUUUUUUGAAGGUCCGACAUUGCUGCAGGCUCACGGGAUGCUCUCAGUGCCUUCGGGGCCUUCCCUGUGGCAGUGCCGAAGGCUGGUCUGAGCAGUCGUGAAGCCACACAGAUCUGCCUCCUGCCAGGACGCCGAGUGCGGGGCGGGGGGCGGGGGGGGCGACCUUGUGCCUCAGUUUCCUCCUGGGGUCCCACUUGCCUGGGGUUCCACAGCUCACUCUAGUCACCCAAGAGCUACUAUCAUCAUCAUCAUCAUCAUCAUCGUCAUCAUCAUCAUCAUCAUCAAACAAAACAAAAAAUACUUGUGCUUUGGAAAUUUUCGAGCUAGCACAGAAAGUGGAGAGAACGUGCCGUUCGCCACGCUUCCUCCUUCUGCCGGCCUCACUUCGUUCAUCUCCCCCACGUCCUUUCUGGAGAGUUGGAAUAUUUGUAUUUAAUCCCAGGUGUAUUAUUUUACCCUCAGUAAAGACGUUUUUGUUCCAUA